rnacentral:rRNA from 1 species
UAGGGAAUAUUAGUAAUGGGCGAAAGCCUGAACUAGCAACGCCGCGUGUGCAAGAAGGCCUUCGGGUUGUAAAGCACUUUUUGAGAGGAUGAGGAAGGACGGUACUCUCAGAAUAAGCCUCGGCUAACUACGUGCCAGCAGCCGCGGUAACACGUAGGAGGCGAACGUUAUCCGGAUUUACUGGGCGUAAAGCGCGUGUAGGUGGUUUGGUAAGUAGGGCGUGAAAGCUCCUGGCUCAACUGGGAGAGGCCGUUCUAAACUGCCGAACUAGAGGAGGGUGGAGGGAGGUGGAAUUCCGGGUGUGGCGG